rnacentral:rRNA from 1 species
UACGGGGGGGGCAAGCGUUGUUCGGAAUUACUGGGCGUAAAGGGCUCGUAGGUGGCCAACUAAGUCAGACGUGAAAUCCCUCGGCUUAACCGGGGAACUGCGUCUGAUACUGGAUGGCUUGAGUUCGGGAGAGGGAUGCGGAAUUCCAGGUGUAGCGGUGAAAUGCGUAGAUAUCUGGAGGAACACCGGUGGCGAAGGCGGCACCCUGGACCGACACUGACGCUGAGGAGCGAAAGCGUGGGGAGCGAACAGG